CCUACGGGUGGCUGCAGUGGGGAAUAUUGCACAAUGGGGGAAACCCUGAUGCAGCGACGCCGCGUGAGUGAAGAAGUAACUCGUUAUGUAAAGCUCUAUCAGCAGGGAAGAAAAUGACGGUACGUGAGUAAGUAUCCCCGGCUAACUACGUGACAGCAGCCGCGGGAAUACGUCGGGGGCAAGCGUUAUCCGGAUUUACUGGGGUUUAAGGGAGCGUAUACGGCAGGGCAAGUGUGGAGUGAAAGGUGGGGGCUCAACCCCAGGACUGCUCUGGAAACUGUAAGGCUUGAGUGCAGGAGAGGUAAGUGGAAUUCCUGGUGUAGCGGUGAAAUGCGUAGAUAUUAGGAGGAACCCCAGUGGCGAAGGCAGCUUACUGGACUGUAACUGACGUUGAGGCUCGAAAGCGUGGGGAGCAAACAGGAUUAGAUACCCCUGUAGUC
rnacentral:rRNA from 1 species